GUGCCAGCAGCCGCGGUAAUACGUAGGUGGCAAGCGUUGUCCGGAUUUAUUGGGUUUAAAGGGUGCGUAGGCGGUCAAUUAAGUCAGUGGUGAAAUACGGCAGCUUAACUGUCGAGGUGCCAUUGAUACUGGUUGACUUGAGUACUGAUGAGGUAGGCGGAAUGGACGGUGUAGCGGUGAAAUGCUUAGAGAUCGUCCAGAACACCGAUAGCGAAGGCAGCUUACUAAGGAGUAACUGACGCUGAGGCACGAAAGUGUGGGGAUCAAACAGGAUUAGAAACCCUGGUAGUCC
rnacentral:rRNA from 1 species